GAUGAACGCUGGCGGCGUGCUUAACACAUGCAAGUCGAACGGAAAGGCCCUGCUUUUGUGGGGUGCUCGAGUGGCGCACGGGUGAGUAACACGUGAGUAACAUCCCCUUGACUUUGUGAUAUCUUCAGGAAACUGGGGCUAAUACCGGAUAGGAGCUCCUGCUGCAUGGUGGGGGUUGGAAAGUUUCGGCGGUUGGGGCUGGACUCGCGGCUUAUCAGCUUGUUGGUGGGGGAGUGGCUUACCAAGGCUUUGACGGGUAGCCGGCCUGGGAGGGGGACCGGGCACAAGGGGACUGAGAGAGGGACCAGACGCCUACGGGAGGCAGCGGGGGCGAAUAUGACACAAUGACGGCGAGCCUGAGGCAGCAGCGCCGCGUGCGGGAAGACCUGCUUUGGGUGGUGAACCGAUUUCUCCUUGGAUGAGGCGUGAGUGACGGUAAUGUAUAAAGAAGCACCGGCUAACUACGUG
rnacentral:rRNA from 1 species